rnacentral:rRNA from 1 species
GGUGCUUGCAUCAUGAUUUACAUUUGAGUGAGUGGCGAACUGGUGAGUAACACGUGGGAAACCUGCCCAGAAGCGGGGGAUAACACCUGGAAACAGAUGCUAAUACCGCAUAACAACUUGGACCGCAUGGUCCGAGCUUGAAAGAUGGCUUCGGCUAUCACUUUUGGAUGGUCCCGCGGCGUAUUAGCUAGAUGGUGGGGUAACGGCUCACCAUGGCAAUGAUACGUAGCCGACCUGAGAGGGUAAUCGGCCACAUUGGGACUGAGACACGGCCCAAACUCCUACGGGAGGCAGCAGUAGGGAAUCUUCCACAAUGGACGAAAGUCUGAUGGAGCAACGCCGCGUGAGUGAAGAAGGGUUUCGGCUCGUAAAACUCUGUUGUUAAAGAAGAACAUAUCUGAGAGUAACUGUUCAGGUAUUGACGGUAUUUAACCAGAAAGCCACGGCUAACUACGUGCCAGCAGCCGCGGUAAUACGUAGGUGGCAAGCGUUGUCCGGAUUUAUUGGGCGUAAAGCGAGCGCAGGCGGUUUUUUAAGUCUGAUGUGAAAGCCUUCGGCUCAACCGAAGAAGUGCAUCGGAAACUGGGAAACUUGAGUGCAGAAGAGGACAGUGGAACUCCAUGUGUAGCGGUGAAAUGCGUAGAUAUAUGGAAGAACACCAGUGGCGAAGGCGGCUGUCUGGUCUGUAACUGACGCUGAGGCUCGAAAGUAUGGGUAGCAAACAGGAUUAGAUACCCUGGUAGUCCAUACCGUAAACGAUGAAUGCUAAGUGUUGGAAGGGUUUCCGCCCUUCAGUGCUGCAGCUAACGCAUUAAGCAUUCCGCCUGGGGAGUACGGCCGCAAGGCUGAAACUCAAAGGAAUUGACGGGGGCCCGCACAAGCGGUGGAGCAUGUGGUUUAAUUCGAAGCUACGCGAAGAACCUUACCAGGUCUUGACAUACUAUGCAAAUCUAAGAGAUUAGACGUUCCCUUCGGGGACAUGGAUACAGGUGGUGCAUGGUUGUCGUCAGCUCCUGUCCUGAAAAUGUUGGGUUAAUUCCCGCAACG